UACGGGGGGAGCAAGCGUUGUUCGGAAUUACUGGGCGUAAAGGGCUUGUAGGUGGCUUGUUAAGUCAGACGUGAAAUCCCUCAGCUUAACUGGGGAACUGCGUCUGAUACUGGCGAGCUUGAGUGCAGGAGAGGAACGCGGAAUUCCAGGUGUAGCGGUGAAAUGCGUAGAUAUCUGGAGGAACACCGGUGGCGAAGGCGGCGUUCUGGACUGCAACUGACACUGAGAAACGAAAGCCAGGGUAGCAAACGGG
rnacentral:rRNA from 1 species